GAUGACUUCAAGCAGGAGACUAAGAAGCAGGAGUAUUAAGUAACUUAAGCACCUACUUACAAAAGGUGUCACUAACCCACCAUUCCAGUUAGAACUGGAUGCUCUGAAAGUGAGGAAGUGGGACCUUAAGAAAGAAGAAAAUGCUAACGGAAAGCACAUGACUGCUAUUUUUGGCUAAAUGACUGAGAAUAUACUGGUGAUGGAUCUCAAACACUGCCAAGAGUGGUUUGUGAUGCAGAAUACUAUCUACUACAAAUGAAACUCCUAACACUUGUGACACGGUAAAAAUGGUCUUCAAAGGUAGAAAACUGGUGCAUUAAUCUACCCUUCCACCACCUCUUCCAAAAGUACCAAGGGAUGUGGGUAAUCAUGUGUUUAACACAAAUCAUCAGAGAUACAGGAAUGUUUUGAAUAGCCAUCAAUGGUUACAUCAUUAAAGAUAAUUUACUGCAAUGACUUAUGAUUUUCAAUUCAUAGAAGUGCAUUAAGAGUGUGUUCUACACUUACAUUAACACUCCCCAUCAUAAA